rnacentral:rRNA from 1 species
GACGAACGCUGGCGGCGUGCCUAAUACAUGCAAGUCGAACGCAGUGGGGACGGGUGAGUAACACGUGGGUAACCUCCCAUCAGAGGGGAUAACACUUGGAAACAGGUGCUAAACCGAUACUGAUGGAUGGACCCGCGGUGCAUUAGCUAGUUGGUGAGGGAACGGCUCACCAAGGCCACGAUGCAUAGGCGGCCUGAGAGGGUUGCUGGCCACACUUGGACUUGGACACGGCCCAGACUCCGACGGGAGGCAGCAGGAGGGAAUCUUCGGAAAGGGACGAAAGUCUGACCGAGCAACGCCGCGGGAGGGAAGAAGGGUUUCGGAUCGUAAAACUCUGUUGUUAGAGAAGCGGUAUCUAGCCAGAAAGCCACGGCUAACUACGUUCCAGGCGCCGCGGUAAUAC